GCUGUCAACGCAUUGUUGUGGGCGCCCGGCGCCUGGCAGCUGCUGCCCAAUCCUCGCUUCCGCCGUGCCCAUACGUGUCGUGCUGUGCUGUGUGUGCGAGUGCCCUCUGCCGCACUUUGAUUUCAAUUUAUACUUUGUUGCCGCAUUAUAAAGCGCGCAAAUUGAAUUUUCACACGUAGCUGGCUUCUCCGUUUUUGUUCUGGCAUUCAGCACGGCCAUUAAUUCACCAGCCAUGAAAAAAUGUAAUUUUUUAGAAAACCUUCACAUCCGUACAAACCGUAUGCAUUUCUAAAGGAAAA